AACAUGUCCUUUUGUUUAUUUAUAUAAGGUCUGACCUGCCCAAUGAUUUAUUUAAUGGCCGCAGUAUUUUAACUGUGCUAAGGUAGCAUAAUCACUUGUCUUUUAAUUAAGGGCUAGAAUGAAGGGUUGGACGAGAUAUUAACUUUCUUUAAUUUAAUUAUUGAAUUUAAUUUUUAAGUGAAAAAGCUUAAAUUUAUUUAUUGGACGAGAAGACCCUAUAGAUCUUAACAUUUCGUUUAAUUAUAGCUUUUAGGGAUUGAAGAUUCGUUUUAAUUAAAUAUAUGUUUGGUUGGGGUGAUUUCAAAAUUAUAAUAACUUUUGUUCAUGUUUUUCGUUAAUUAACGUUUUGUUGAUCCAUUUUUAUUGAUUUUAAGAUUAAGUUACCUUAGGGAUAACAGCGUAAUUAAUUCGGAGAGUUCAUAUCGAUGAAUUAGUUUGCGACCUCGAUGUUGGAUUAAAAUUAGUCUUAGGUGUAGAAUUUUACGGACUAGGUCUGUUCGACCUUUGAAAUUUUACAUGAUCU
rnacentral:rRNA from 1 species